rnacentral:rRNA from 1 species
UACGUAGGGGGCAAGCGUUGUCCGGAAUCAUUGGGCGUAAAGAGCGCGUAGGCGGUCCAGUAAGUCCGCUCUGAAAGUCCGGGGCUCAACCCCGGGAGGCGGGCGGAUACUGCUGGGCUAGAGUCCGGAAGAGGCGAGUGGAAUUCCUGGUGUAGCAGUGAAAUGCGUAGAUAUCAGGAGGAAUACCGAUGGCGAAGGCAGGUCUGUGGGCUGACACUGACGCUCAUGCACGAAAGCGUGGGGAGCAAACAGG